GUUUUAGUGCUUUCUGUUUUAUUAUUUUGUUGUAUAUAUUGUUCCAUAUGCUCAGGAUUUAGGAUGAGUUUUAGUUGCUUGUUUGGUUUGUUGUGGAAAUGGAAUGGGGAUGGAGAUAGAUGUUUAACCCUUUGGCAGUAAGUUUAUUUUAGGCUGAAAGUAUAUUUUAACCACUCUGACCCUUAGAAACUUUCAUCUCACUUCUCAACUUUUAAAAAGUGUAAUUAAGUGAAUAUUGUGAUCUGAAUCAUCCUCAAAAUUGAAGAAAAAACUUGACUAGUGUGAUUGCUAUUAGGCUUUUAUGGUAAAAGUAAGUCUUAAAUUUAUUCAUAAAGUAUAAGGGUGUCCCUGGAAUUUUUUUUUUGUUAAAAGUCUGUUAAAAUUCCACAUUGGUUUGGGAUAGG
rnacentral:misc_RNA from 1 species